UACGUAGGGUGCAAGCGUUGUCCGGAAUUAUUGGGCGUAAAGAGCUCGUAGGCGGUCAGUCGCGUCUGCUGUGAAAACUCGGGGCUUAACUCCGGGCCUGCAGUGGGUACGGGCUGACUAGAGUGCGGUAGGGGAGACUGGAAUUCCUGGUGUAGCGGUGAAAUGCGCAGAUAUCAGGAGGAACACCGGUGGUGAAGGCGGGUCUCUGGGCCGUAACUGACGCUGAGGAGCGAAAGCGUGGGGAGCGAACAGG
rnacentral:rRNA from 1 species